ACAACAGGGAAGAAAAAAACAUUGCGACCUAAUUAUGUUUUCUUCUUCUCUCUGUUCUUCAUAUCCAUUAUUAAGUUUCUCUGUAGGGUUUUCUUUUUUGAGUUUCAUUCUUCAAGGUGUCUACCAGCUCCGCUCAUCUUCCAAGUUCUAUCUUCUGAAUCCACAUCCAAACCCUCAUCAAGGUUGCUCCUCUACCCUAGAUUAAACAUUAGACCUCUGUGAUUAAACCCAAAUCAAGGUUCUGUUGAUCCUUAAACGAAAUCAAACGAAAUCAAAAUUAUUUGUUUUUCUAAUUUCCAUGGUUCUGUUAUUAGUUUAGUGUAGGGUUUUCUUUUUUCAGUUUCAUUCUUCAAGGUAUCUACCGGCUCUGCUCAUCUUCCAAGUUCUCUCUUCUGAAUCCACAUUCAAACCCUCAUCAAGGUUUGAUUUACAGGAUAUAUAUUUGGCUGGGCUAAAAUUAGGUUUGGCAAAAUAGGGACGCACAGAUUGUUACCGAAAUUAAUAAAUUAGGUUUUGUUUGCUUCCAGGUGAUAAAGUCUGUUAUGAGUUGAAUUCAAUUGGAGUCGAAUCUACAAUGGCCUUCACCAGUGCACCUUUCAUAGAAAUUGCCAACUAGGCGUGGGAUCGUGUCAAUUUUUGCAUACUAGCAGUAAUUAUUGUGCUAAGCCCAUAGCAAAUAAUUUUGUUUAUGGAGCUUAGCAAUAUUACUACGAAAUGAUAGAAGAUUUUGGCUGUAAGUUACAAGGAAAAGCUUUGCUCGAGAAUAUGUGAAUUGACGAAUUAAUCAAAGGACUGGAAGUGAAAAGGGCGACAAGACUAUGUUCCUAUGACUGGAAGUGAAUGGAGUACAGUUCCCUGUAGAUGCUUACGUCCUUCUAGAAACUGCUGUUAAAGCUGAUAAUGGAGCCAGGUUCUUCAAUUAUAUCAGACAUCCUCCUAAAAGUGUAUCAGACAAUAGUCGAUACCAUACAUGACUUCCUUCUCAUCAGGAGGUCUAAUUGGUCUUGAGCAUAAAUUUUUCAUUGAACUAUUUAGCAGUUAUGAACUACUUUUCAAUUAUCCCUCUUAUUGUUGCUAUUGAUUUGCAGUCGAUGGCUCUAAUGGAUUGUGUUUUUCAAUUGCAAGGUGAUAUUACAAAUGCUUGAACAGCUGUAAGAUGUUGGCAGGGUUCUCUGUUGAAUGUGACCUCAGUAUGAGAGCGAGCAAGGUGGUAAGGAUGAUAUUCUUAGAAGAGGAAGGGAAUAUAGUUGAUCUAGAAGUAGAAGUCCAGUGCAUCGACGAAGUAGACCGAGUCCGGAUAAUGGACCGGAAAACAGUAAAGUUUAUGACAGAUAAGGGACCAUCGAGCAACACCAUGGGCGAUAUACCACUCGGUCACCAGUUUGCUGCUAAUUCAAAUGGUUGUUCACCAAUUCGUCGCUCACCUGUUUGUCGUGCCCGUUCCCCUGCUGGAAGUUCAAACGUUCAUCGAUUCGCAACUGGAUGCUCUCCCGUUUUCUGUUCAGCUUAUACUCGCUCAUUUAUUCCCAUUCCCAGCGUUUUUGUUUCAGGGUUUUAGGAAGAAAAGCAUAAUCAGAAAGGUGAUGAGGAGGAAUAAAAGAAAAAGAUGUUGGACGGGUUCUGAUGUAUAACUAUGGUGGGUGUUGCGACAGAAUACUUUUUAUUUGGAUACUCGGAAGAUGGCUUAUUUUAUAUUUACCAGGUUGGCUAAAUUUUUUUUAGAAUUGAGUUCCAUUCUUAUGAGGGCUUUCCGUAAUGACACAAAUAUUGACAUCACGAAACAUGUACCACUUCAUAGUUGUUGGAGGAUUCAAGCGAAAUUAAGGGAUUUAUUUUUCUUUGCCCACUUUGCUUACAAGCGCUACGAGGGUGUUUGAUUUCUAUUUUAUUACUGUUAAUGUAACAGUUGGAUAACUUGCUUAAAACCCUGGGGUUUAUACAGAAGAAAACAGAUUCACAGAACAAUUCUACUUUUGCGUCAGCACGAAAGAGUUACAUUGAAACUUGCAAAAAUUAUGUCACGUUAACCCACAUUUUGUAGAUUAAUUUAUUAAUGAAUGAGAAUUUAUUGGA